rnacentral:lncRNA from 1 species
GUCACCAGGAGCUGGGAGGAGGGGAAAGCCCGGAGUUACUCUUCAACUGGUUUAGAGUUUCAGCUAACAAAAUGAAAAAGAUUUCGAGAUCAGCUGUACAAGGAUGGGUCUAUGGUUAGACCAUAACAUACACUGAAAAUUUGUUUCGAGGAUAAAUUAAAAUAACACCAACAACAAAGAAAGCUGAUAAAAACAAACAAAAAGGCAUGAAGUACUGAUUCACGCUACAACAUGGGUGGGCCUCGGAGAUGCUUUGCUAGGUUAGGUGAAAGGGGCCAGACAUAGAGGACCGGGGCUCCGUGUGACUCCACCUCCAUGACCCACAGAGGCAGAAUCAGAUUAAGGAGCGGCAGAAGGGGACUACCGCACAUGGGGACUGAUUUGGGGGGAGCUGGUCGCACGUGCGUUUCCCUCUACGGCACACACAGCUCCUUAAUCUAGCAACUGUCGCCAGAACGUCAGCCCUGCGCUCAGGGACCGUUUUAAACAAUGACAUCAACACAGAGCACAAGGGGGAGAAAUAUCGCACUAGGUGGACGGAGAAAAGGCUGCUUACGGAGUGAGAGCUGAGCCCAGCCGCAGAGCGGUGUCCCGCCCGCUCUGCGCGUGUCUGCAAGAGGCUGAGCGAGAACCACGUGCUGACGUGCGGUAGCAGAUGCGCUUCUGCUGGGAGGCUGAAGCACGCACCUCUGCAGCGACUGAACUAUCGAUCCGGACAGGGACUGCAUUCCUCUUGUUCAUCUUGUAUCCUCAGCACAGUGCCAGACCCGCAGCGGAUGCUGAAUAAAUGCGUACUAACAGGGUAAGGGGAUGAACGUCAGGGCCUGAGCUCCUGUUCUGGGCUGGGGCUGGGGCUGGGGCUGGGUCAGAGAUGGUCGAGUUAGAAUAGCACAUCUAAUGCAAUGGCUACUAGCCACACAUAGCGACUUAAAUUUAACUUCAAAGUGAUGAAACUUAAAUAAAUUAAAAAAUUCAGCUCCUCUGGCUCACUAGCAAAUUUUAAGUUCUCAGCACGGACAACUGUCUCACAGUUAGGAGACGGUCCAGAUAGAGAAUGAUUCCACCAUCAGAAAGGUCUGCUGGCAGAGCUGAUGGAGAUCAGUGAUUCUCCGAGGAGGCUGACUGUCCCCCGGGGGUGUCUGGCCAUAUCUGGGGACGUUUC